rnacentral:rRNA from 1 species
AUGGCCGCCGGCGAGCAGCACAGCGCCCCGAAGAUCUCCUCUUCCACCACCACCAAUUCUUCCGGGAGGCCCGUCACUCCGUUCUGGAAAGAGAAGUACGAGCGAGAUGCGCGCAGGUACUGGGAUAUCUUCUACAAGCGCCACGAGGACAAGUUCUUCAAAGACCGACACUACUUGGAUAAAGAAUGGGGGAAGUACUUUGAAGCCCAAGAUGGUGGGAAUAUGGUUGUUUUGGAGGUUGGCUGUGGAGCUGGAAAUACAAUAUUUCCACUGCUGGCUACAUAUCCGGAUAUAUUUGUUCAUGCUUGUGAUUUUUCUUCGCGAGCUGUCGAUUUGGUUAAGAAACACAAGGACUUCAGACCUGACCAUGUUAAUGCAUUUGCAUGUGAUAUUACAUCAGAACAACUGACAGAUGCUGUGGAGCCAUCCUCCGUUGACCUUGUGACAAUGAUAUUUAUGCUAUCUGCAGUUGCCCCAGAUAAAAUGCCUUCAGUUCUGCAGAACGUGAAAAAUAUCCUCAAACACGGUGGCCGUGUGCUCUUUCGGGACUAUGCCUUUGGUGACCUUGCUCAGGAAAGGCUUAUGUCCAAAGGCCAGCAAAUAAGUGAGAACUUUUAUGUCAGAGGUGAUGGCACGCGUGCGUACUACUUUUCAAACGAGUACCUGGUGGAUUUGUUCUCAAAAUGUGGAUUUACUCUUGAGGAAAUUUGUGUACACAACAAAAAGGUCGAGAACCGUUCACUAGACUUGGUGAUGAACAGGAAUUGGAUCCAAGCUACCUUUAUCCUUAACCCAGCGGGUCCUCUAAGUCCAAAUAAUCAACAUGACCACAGUACUUGUGAAGGGAAGGAUGCUGUUGACACGUCUCAGAAGAGCGAAAGUGAAGAAAUUGACCUUUCUGUGGAUUUUAGCAAUAUGUUUGGAACGUCGCACUAUCUUAAUGAGGCACAAAUUAUUAUGAUUGAAGCAAAGGAUCAUGACUUCAAAAUAAAAAUGCUGGCGAAAGAAUACCAGCACACCUGCAAAUCAACUGGACUAAUGCUCUGGGAAUCAGCUCAGUUCAUGUGCAGUCUUCUAGCGGAGAAUCCUUCCAUAGUCGCUGGCAAAAGGGUGCUGGAAAUGGGCUGUGGUUCAGCUGGCAUCUGCUCAAUGGUUGCUGCCAGUUCUGCUCAGUUUGUUGUAGCCACCGACGGGGAUGCAGAAUCGCUCGAUCUUCUCAGACAGAACACUUCCUCCAAUUUGGAUGCUGAACUUCUCAACAGAAUUUCGAUUAGGAAGCUGUUCUGGGGUGACGAAGAUGAUGUGAAGGCGGUCAGAGAGCUUUCUGGCGAUGGUGCAGGUUUCGAUUGCAUAAUAGGCACUGACGUGACCUACAACCCUGAUGCUACACUUCCUCUCUUCAAGACUGCUAGGGCACUGAUUUCUGACGGUGGCGAUGCUGGUUCAAAGGCAGCCCUUAUUCUUUGCUACAUCCAGCGUCGUGUUGACGAGGAUUCGAUCCUCUUAGCAGCAGAAACCCAGGGCUUCAGGCUCGUGGACAAAUGGAUAAAUGGAGUUCACGAGAGUAAUGGUACCAUUAGCUGUUGGUUCCGUGGCAAUGAUGUUUGUGGUGCUUUCCGGAAUGUAACGUUUUCCAUAUUGUACUUUGAGGUGAUACACACAUUGGUGUUUACCUGA